rnacentral:lncRNA from 1 species
GAAAGGGUGGCACCCGGAUCAAUCAAAGUAUAAACAUCAAGAUCAAAGAUUUGCAACAUACCGGUCACCACAUCCGGGGUCUCAUUAACACCUUGUCUACCAUGCAAAGCAUAAAAUCGAUUGUCCCUUGGGGCACCACUUUGAGAAGCACCUCUACCCAAAGGAGUAGUGUUAGCACUUCGGACCUUGUUGCGGAUCUUGGGACACUCAAACCUCUUAUGACCCACUUCUCCACAUUCAAAGCAAGCACCCGAACCCUUCAUGCAAGGACCACCAUGCUUCCUCCC